rnacentral:rRNA from 1 species
UACGGGGGGGGGCAAGCGUUGUUCGGAAUUACUGGGCGUAAAGGGCUCGUAGGCGGCCAACUAAGUCAGACGUGAAAUCCCUCGGCUUAACCGGGGAACUGCAUCUGAUACUGGAUGGCUUGAGUUCGGGAGAGGGAUGUGGAAUUCCAGGUGUAGCGGUGAAAUGCGUAGAUAUCUGGAGGAACACCGGUGGCGAAGGCGGCAUCCUGGACCGACACUGACGCUGAGGAGCGAAAGCCAGGGGAGCAAACGGGG